AAAUUCAAGUUAUAAUUAAUUAUAAGUUCUAAUUAAGUUGUAAUUCAAAUCCCUAAAAUUCUAAAUUCAAACUAGCUAGCUAGUGUCCCAACUUCAAACUAUUAAAUUAGUCCUAAAAUAUCAAAUAUAAUUCAAACUAUUAGUCCUAAAUUCCAAAUUCAAAUUAGUCUUAAAAUCACAAAUUGAAAGUACUCCUAGAAUUCAAAAAUCAAACUAUAGUGCUAAAAUCCCAAAUUCAAACUAUUAGUAUUCCUAAAAUCUCAAUAAUAAUUCAAACUAACUCAAAUAAUACCCAAGUUCAAACAACUCCUUAAAUACCCUAAUUCAAUCUAAUCUUAC
rnacentral:lncRNA from 1 species